rnacentral:lncRNA from 1 species
AGGCUCAGUCCCGGGUUUCUGCCCAGCCACAGGCUCAGUCACAGGCUCCUGCCCAGCCACAGGCUCAGUCACAGGCUUCUGCCCAGCCACAGGCUCAGUCACAGGCUUCUGCCCAUCCACAGACUCAGUCACAGGCUUCUGCCCAGUCACAGGCUUCUGCCUAGUCACAGGAUCAUUUACAGGCUUCUGCCAGCCACAGUCUCGGUCACAGACUUCUGCCCAGUCACAGGCUCAGUCCCAGGUUUCUGCCCAGCCACAGGCUCAGUCACAGGCUCCUGCCUAGUCACAGGCUUUUGCCAUUUACAAGCUUCAGCCCAUCCAUAGCCUUAUGCCCAGGCUUCUACUUGUUCACAGCAGCAGGAUGUUUAGCUGGGUGGUGAAAGUUGUUCCGCAGCCCCCUGAGAAGACUGGACUCGGAGAAGAGGAGAAAAACAAUGCUCAGGAAGUGAAAGCUCCUGUCAAUGAGGAAGCUGCAAAGCAAGAAAGUCCUGUGAAUGAAGUCUCUGAAGAAAACAGUAGUGGGGUGCUGACCUGGCUGUCUCAUGGCUUCACCAGCGCCCUCCCCCAGCCUGUAGGAGCUCAGAAGGCUAACUCUGAGGUCAAGGUACGAGACACGCUGUGAAUCUUCCUUCCUGUACUGUGAUAUCAAUAACACUGGCAAUUUAAACUG